GAGAGAAAGGGAGGGAGGAGGGAGGGAGGGAGGGGGGCAUCUCUCUCCCUCUCUCCCUCUCUCCUCUCUUUCUAACA